rnacentral:rRNA from 1 species
GAUGAACGCUGGCGGCGUGCCUAAUACAUGCAAGUCGAGCGAACAGACGAGGAGCUUGCUCCUCUGACGUUAGCGGCGGACGGGUGAGUAACACGUGGGUAACCUACCUAUAAGACUGGGAUAACUUCGGGAAACCGGAGCUAAUACCGGAUAAUAUAUUGAACCGCAUGGUUCAAUAGUGAAAGACGGUUUUGCUGUCACUUAUAGAUGGAUCCGCGCCGCAUUAGCUAGUUGGUAAGGUAACGGCUUACCAAGGCGACGAUGCGUAGCCGACCUGAGAGGGUGAUCGGCCACACUGGAACUGAGACACGGUCCAGACUCCUACGGGAGGCAGCAGUAGGGAAUCUUCCGCAAUGGGCGAAAGCCUGACGGAGCAACGCCGCGUGAGUGAUGAAGGUCUUCGGAUCGUAAAACUCUGUAAUUAGGGAAGAACAAAUGUGUAAGUAACUAUGCACGUCUUGACGGUACCUAAUCAGAAAGCCACGGCUAACUACGUG